rnacentral:lncRNA from 1 species
GUUUUGUUUUUUCGAUUUGGUUCAAAGGCUUUUUUAACCUUCUCAUCCAAAAGUACAAACAUAUUCGAAACUUGUUCAAAAAAAAUAGGUGGCUCGAUUUUUAAGAUUAUGCACAUCCAAAAAAAUUGAUCUUAAAUUUUCAUUCUUAAGCACUUUAGAAUUUAGGGAGCGGCUAAUGUGAUGAUUUUAUAGUUUAUCAAGGAGCUGUAGUUUAUCUUUUUUUCAGCCUAGAUUAAUACUUUUUUAUUAAAUAAAAAUCUCUUUAAUUAAUUUAACCUUAUCAUUAUUAUAUUAUUAUACGUACCGAGUCGCCGAAUUAUGUCUACGCUCAACGGAAUCGACAGCAAAUAGCAGUUACUGCGAACGGCUCAGAUUGCUCGGGAAGGUGGGCCCUCAAUCCUAAACCUCUCCGAUACCCCACACCUCACCACCUACGUGCAAGUCACACCAACCUGUAUAAAGUAUAAACGGCGUACGUCAUCACCGUCCCACGAUUCCUUUCUAACAAUCAGAGGGAAAAUUUCUAAAAUGCAACAGGUAUAUUAGUAACGUGGCGUAACAAAUCAAUCAAAUAUUUUUUUUUUAGAAAUGUAUAUNUCUACGCUCAACGGAAUCGACAGCAAAUAGCAGUUACUGCGAACGGCUCAGAUUGCUCGGGAAGGUGGGCCCUCAAUCCUAAACCUCUCCGAUACCCCACACCUCACCACCUACGUGCAAGUCACACCAACCGGUAUAAAGUAUAAACGGCGUACGUCAUCACCGUCCCACGACUCCUCUC